CGAGAGGGAAAGAGCCCAGACCGUCAGCUAAGGUCCCAAAGUCUGUGCUUAGUGUCAAAGGAUGUGGAGGCGCAUUGACAGCCAGGAGGUUGGCUUAGAAGCAGCCAUCCUUUAAAGAAAGCGUAAUAGCUCACUGGUCAAGCGAAUCCGCGCCGAAAAUAUAACGGGGCUCAAGCACAGCACCGAAGCUACGGACUCAGCGCAAGCUGAGUGGUAGAGGAGUACUCUCAAGCAGAUACGCGGUGUACCGACAAGGGGCACUAACGGGCUUGAGAGGAGCUUAUGUAGGGAUGAGUAGCGAUAAACUGGGUCAAAAACCCAGUCGCCGUAAGCCCAAGGUUUCCUGGGGUAGGAUAAGCCUCCCAUGGGUUAGUCGGGUCCUAAGCUGAGCCGAGAGGCGUAGGUGAUGGCAAGCAGGUUAAUAUUCCUGCACCGCGACGGUGUUUUAGCAGAGCGAGGGACGGAGGAAGGAUCGUCAGGCCUACCGUGGUUUGGUAGGUUCAAGUCCCGUAGGUGGUUCCCGUAGGACGCG
rnacentral:rRNA from 1 species